AUUAUUUCACAGAAGGCAAACAUUUAAUUCAGCCAAGAUGUCGGAGAAAAAGAUGUCCUCGAGUCGCAAGCAUCAUCUAAAGAGCUUGAUGCUUGCUAUCGCUAAAGGUUUACUGGAACAGGGAGAAAAGGACAUAGAGG